GACGAACGCUGGCGGCGCGCCUAACACAUGCAAGUCGAACGAGCGAGUGAGAGCUUGCUUUCUCGAGCGAGUUGCGACCGGGUGAGUAACGCGUGAGGUACCUGCCUCAAAGAGGGGGACAACAGUUGGCAACGACUGCUAAUACCGCAUAAGCCCACGACCCGGUGUCGGGUCGAGGGAAAAAGAGCAAUCCGCUUUGAGAUGGCGCCGCGUCCGACUAGCUAGUUGGUGAGGUAACGGCCCACCAACGCGACGAUCGGUAGUCGGACUGGGAGGGUGAACCGGCACAUUGGGACUGAGGCACGGCCCAGAAUCCUACGGGAGGCAGGAGUGGGGAAUAUUGCAAAAUGGGGCAAACCCUGAUGCAGCGACGGCGCGUGGAGGAAGAAGGUCUUCGGAUUGGAAACGCCUGUUGUUGAGGAAGAUAAUGACGGUACCCAACAAAGAAGUGACGGCUAACUACGUG
rnacentral:rRNA from 1 species